rnacentral:sRNA from 1 species
UUAUAGCCCUGAUGGGAACGGCAUCCUUUUGUUCAGGGUUCGGCGCAAAAGAUAUAGUGUACAGCAGGAAAUAGC